UCGCUCGCGAUCGUCAUCAAAACAGUACCAAUCCAAUCUGUGAAGCAUUCGACUGAGCUGAGUUUCCUGCAGCUACAGUUCACUACAGUUGCAACACUUCGCUGGUGGAAAUUUCACGCCAAAUGAGCAAAACGUGAUAGUGCGGUGGUUCCAACAUUAUCUGGAUUACGUACAACAUCAACAACAACAAUGGAGCAAAAUACAGAUAAUGAUGAAGGAUUAGGUGAAGAGAUUGUUUUUCCUGAGAACAUGUCCGGCCGAAGUGAGAGCACUCUGCUCACCCCAGCUCAAACAUACUUUGCUGAUGAGAGGAUCCAAAUUCCAAAUGCUGAAGAUACGAAAUUCAGUUUUCGAAAAUUGUGGGCUUUCACUGGACCUGGUUUCUUGAUGUCCAUAGCUUACUUGGAUCCUGGCAAUAUUGAGAGCGAUUUGCAAAGCGGCAGCGUGACGAGUUUCAAGCUGCUAUGGGUUUUACUUGGCGCCACAAUUUUGGGACUUCUAAUGCAAAGGCUAUCAGCGAGAUUGGGUGUUGUAACUGGUUUGCAUUUGGCUGAAAUGUGUUACAGACAAUACAAGAGAUUUCCAAGAGUUAUCUUAUGGAUUAUGAUAGAAAUUGCGAUUAUCGGUUCUGAUAUGCAAGAAGUUAUCGGAACUGCAAUUGCGCUUUUCUUACUAUCAAAUAAACAUAUUCCUUUGUGGGUUGGUGUGCUGAUAACUAUAGCAGAUACGUUCACAUUUUUGUUCCUCGAUAAGUACGGAUUGAGGAAGCUGGAGCUGUUUUUCGGGUCGCUCAUUUUGGUCAUGGCUGUGAGCUUCGGUUUCGAGUACGUUAUUUCAGAACCGAAUCAGUUGGAAGUUAUGAAAGGAAUGUUUUAUCCUUGGUGCACAGACUGCACUUCGAGCGCUCUAAUUCCGGCUAUUGGAAUAGUUGGUGCUGUUAUAAUGCCGCACAACUUGUAUUUGCACUCCGCUUUGGUGAAGUCUCGCGACGUCGAUAGAUCGAAACCGAAGGAAGUCAGUGAGGCUAAUUUCUACUAUUUCCUGGAAGCUUCCAUAGCUCUUCUCAUCAGUUUCGUGAUCAACGUCUUUGUAGUCUCUGUUUUCGCAGUGGGUUUGUUUAAUGUUACAAAUAACGAAAUGAGAGAACAAUGCGAGAAGUACCCUUCAAUGAACGGAUCCGUAUUUCCUGCGAACGAUGAUAUAGUUGAAGCGGAUUUGUACAAAGGCGGUAUUUUCUUGGGCUGCACUUUCGGAGCUGCGGCCAUGUACAUUUGGGCUAUCGGCAUUUUGGCAGCCGGUCAAAGUUCGACGAUGACCGGAACUUAUGCAGGUCAAUUCGCCAUGGAAGGAUUCUUAAACUUGCAGUGGGCUCGAUGGAAGAGAGUUCUCUUCACCAGAUCCAUCGCAAUCGUGCCAACGUUCUUCUUAGCUUUCUUCAGCGAAAUCGAGGAUUUAACGAAGAUGAAUAUCAUUUUGAAUGCAGUCAUGAGUCUUCAAUUGCCGUUCGCAACGAUUCCCACAAUAGCUUUUACCAGUAACAAACAGAUCAUGGGUGAAUUCGUCAAUAAUUACGCCAAUACCGCAGUGGCAAUUCUUCUGAGCAUCGUCGUGAUAAGUAUAAACACUUACGUGGUCAUCGAUCAGGUGAACGAUUUGGAUCCAAAUUGGGCCUUGCUGACGUUAAUUGUAAUCGUCGGCGUCAUCUACCUACUGUUCUGCGCUUACCUAGUGAUACACAUGCUCGUUUCGAUGGGAAACAUUAGUCUUCUCGAAUACGGUUUCGUAAAUAAGUACAUCAUGGGAAAUUCCGAUUCGGAACUCUCCAGCAAUCCCAGCAACUACUCCAGUCUUGAGAGGGCCUAAGUCGUCUUGCUUCUUGGAUCUAUUUUCAGCUUAAAACGCAGACGCCACUAACAACAAAUUGCUCAAAGCAAAGACUAACAACCACUUUAAUCAUCCAUUAAGUCUCAAGGAAUUGACAAUCCAGGGUUAGAUGUUAAGUAGAUUAUUGAUAUUAGGUAAUAAAGUUAACACCAAUGAAGUGCCUUCACGAUCUGAAGGAAUAUUAUUUAAUUUAGUCAAAAAAAAACACUUUAUUGUAUAUAUAGAUAUUUAAAUAUUAAGAGAUAUUAUUAUUAUUGUAUAGAAAAAUGAGAAGUUUCCAUUUCUGUGAAUUGUUGGGAAAUGAGGAACAAGAGAUUUUCUAUUUUUCUAACUUUUGUAAAAUGAACGAACGUUUUGGCUGAUAACUGUAUUGUAGAUCUCUGACGCUACUUUAGGAAAUAUUUUAAUUCUAAAACCAUAUAUUUAAUUUGUGGCCAUCAAUAAUUACAAUAAACAGAAUCUAAUUA